UAGGGAAUUUUCGUCAAUGGGCGCAAGCCUGAACGAGCAAUGCCGCGUGAGUGAGGAAGGUCUUCGGAUCGUAAAGCUCUGUUGCAGGUCAGAAAAGAGGAAAGAGGAAAUGCCUUUUCUUUUUGAUAGUAACCUGCCAGAAAGUCACGGCUAACUACGUGCC
rnacentral:rRNA from 1 species